rnacentral:rRNA from 1 species
UUUAUGGAGAGUUUGAUCCUGGCUCAGAGUGAACGCUGGCGGCGUGCCUAAUACAUGCAAGUCGAACGAUGAAGCUUCUAGCUUGCUAGAAUGCUGAUUAGUGGCGCACGGGUGAGUAACGCAUAGGUCAUGUGCCUCUUAGUUUGGGAUAGCCAUUGGAAACGAUGAUUAAUACCAGAUACUCCCUACGGGGGAAAGAUUUAUCGCUAAGAGAUCAGCCUAUGUCCUAUCAGCUUGUUGGUAAGGUAAUGGCUUACCAAGGCUAUGACGGGUAUCCGGCCUGAGAGGGUGAACGGACACACUGGAACUGAGACACGGUCCAGACUCCUACGGGAGGCAGCAGUAGGGAAUAUUGCUCAAUGGGGGAAACCCUGAAGCAGCAACGCCGCGUGGAGGAUGAAGGUUUUAGGAUUGUAAACUCCUUUUGUUAGAGAAGAUAAUGACGGUAUCUAACGAAUAAGCACCGGCUAACUCCGUGCCAGCAGCCGCGGUAAUACGGAGGGUGCAAGCGUUACUCGGAAUCACUGGGCGUAAAGAGCGCGUAGGCGGGAUAGUCAGUCAGGUGUGAAAUCCUAUGGCUUAACCAUAGAACUGCAUUUGAAACUACUAUUCUAGAGUGUGGGAGAGGUAGGUGGAAUUCUUGGUGUAGGGGUAAAAUCCGUAGAGAUCAAGAGGAAUACUCAUUGCGAAGGCGACCUGCUGGAACAUUACUGACGCUGAUUGCGCGAAAGCGUGGGGAGCAAACAGGAUUAGAUACCCUGGUAGUCCACGCCCUAAACGAUGGAUGCUAGUUGUUGGAGGGCUUAGUCUCUCCAGUAAUGCAGCUAACGCAUUAAGCAUCCCGCCUGGGGAGUACGGUCGCAAGAUUAAAACUCAAAGGAAUAGACGGGGACCCGCACAAGCGGUGGAGCAUGUGGUUUAAUUCGAAGAUACACGAAGAACCUUACCUAGGCUUGACAUUGAGAGAAUCCGCUAGAAAUAGUGGAGUGUCUAGCUUGCUAGACCUUGAAAACAGGUGCUGCACGGCUGUCGUCAGCUCGUGUCGUGAGAUGUUGGGUUAAGUCCCGCAACGAGCGCAACCCCCUUUCUUAGUUGCUAACAGGUCAUGCUGAGAACUCUAAGGAUACUGCCUCCGUAAGGAGGAGGAAGGUGGGGACGACGUCAAGUCAUCAUGGCCCUUACGCCUAGGGCUACACACGUGCUACAAUGGGGUGUACAAAGAGAAGCAAUACUGCGAAGUGGAGCCAAUCUUCAAAACACCUCUCAGUUCGGAUUGUAGGCUGCAACUCGCCUGCAUGAAGCUGGAAUCGCUAGUAAUCGCAAAUCAGCCAUGUUGCGGUGAAUACGUUCCCGGGUCUUGUACUCACCGCCCGUCACACCAUGGGAGUUGUGUUUGCCUUAAGUCAGGAUGCUAAAUUGGCUACUGCCCACGGCACACACAGCGACUGGGGUGAAGUCGUAACAAGGUAACCGUAGGUGAACCUGCGGUUGGAUCACCUCCUUU